UACGUAGGGGGCAAGCGUUGUCCGGAUUUAUUGGGCGUAAAGAGCUCGUAGGCGGUUCAGCAAGUCGGGUGUGAAAAAUCUGGGCUCAACCCAGUGGAGCACCCGAUACUGCUGUGACUAGAGUCCGGUAGGGGAGUGUGGAAUUCCGGGUGUAGCGGUGAAAUGCGCAGAUAUCAGGAGGAACACCAAUGGCGAAGGCAGCUCGCUGGAACGGUACUGACGCUGAGGCGCGAAAGCGUGGGGAGCGAACAGG
rnacentral:rRNA from 1 species